GUGCGAGACCGAUAGCGAACAAGUACCGUGAGGGAAAGAUGAAAAGAACUUUGAAAAGAGAGUUAAAGAGUACCUGAAACUGUUGAAAGGGAACCGUAUCGUUUCCAGUGUUUUAUCCUGUGCAUAUUUCAUUAGCGGAGCAAUUUGCUGGUGCCCUGUGCAUGGGUGUGACGUCAGAGUCAGUUUGUAUGCUGCGGGAGAUGGUCAGUGAGGAGGUGCGUCACUUCGGUGAAAGUUAUAUCUCGCUGUCUAGUAGCCGUGGUUGAGACUGAGGUGCCUAC
rnacentral:rRNA from 1 species